rnacentral:rRNA from 1 species
CCUUCGGGCGCUGACGAGUGGCGGACGGGUGAGUAACGCGUAGGAAUCUGCCUUAUAGUGGGGGACAACGUGGGGAAACCCACGCUAAUACCGCAUACGCCCUACGGGGGAAAGGAGGGGAUCUUCGGACCUUUCGCUAUGAGAUGAGCCUGCGUUAGAUUAGCUAGUUGGUAGGGUAAAGGCCUACCAAGGCGACGAUCUAUAGCUGGUCUGAGAGGACGAUCAGCCACACUGGGACUGAGACACGGCCCAGACUCCUACGGGAGGCAGCAGUGGGGAAUAUUGGACAAUGGGCGAAAGCCUGAUCCAGCAAUACCGCGUGUGUGAAGAAGGCCUUAGGGUUGUAAAGCACUUUCAAUUGGGAGGAAAACCUGUCGGUCAAUACCCGGCAGCUUGACAUUACCUUUAGAAGAAGCACCGGCUAACUCCGUGCCAGCAGCCGCGGUAAUACGGAGGGUGCGAGCGUUAAUCGGAAUUACUGGGCGUAAAGCGUGCGUAGGCGGUUCGUUAAGUCAGAUGUGAAAGCCCUGGGCUCAACCUGGGAACUGCAUUUGAAACUGGCGGACUAGAGUUUAGUAGAGGGGAGUGGAAUUUCAGGUGUAGCGGUGAAAUGCGUAGAUAUCUGAAGGAACACCAGUGGCGAAGGCGACUCCCUGGACUAGAACUGACGCUGAGGUAAGAAAGCGUGGGUAGCAAACAGGAUUAGAUACCCUGGUAGUCCACGCCGUAAACGAUGUCGACUAGCCGUUGGUCCUAUUUACAGGAUUAGUGGCGCAGCUAACGCAUUAAGUCGACCGCCUGGGGAGUACGGCCGCAAGGAAAACUCGAAUGAAUUGACGGGGGCCCGCACAAGCGGUGGAGCAUGUGGUUUAAUUCGAUGCAACGCGAAGAACCUUACCUACCCUUGACAUCCACUGAAUC